GAGAGGGGAAUGACAGAGAGAAAAUGAGCUGAAAAGUGCAGGCUGCCGGCUGGACGAGUUGUUGUUGUCACACGGUGCAGAGGGGAGGAGCUCCGGAAACUUGAAAUACCCUUUGAAGCCGCAAAAACCUCACUCACUAGUAUUAACCCAAAUUAUCCAACCAGGAACUCGGAGCAGAGACUCCGAGAGCGCGAGACACUGGAGAGGGAGCGUGCGAGGAAAGGAGGAGGGGAGGGGGAGGAUACGGAAAGAAACUGUGGGAGGGACGGAGAGGAAAAGCCGGGGACACAGAAGUGGCGAUCGGAAAAGGAGAGGGAGAUCAUCUACUUCUCUUCUACUACUACCGUUAGAUUGCAUGUCUCACAUUCCAUUUCGUCCGCGGGGACUGGUAAUUUUUUCCAAAGCUUCUAAACAAUCGCCCGCCAACUUAAAGAGGAGCCUGAGCGCGCCGAGCUCUCUCCUUCCAGGAUUUAGGAUCCAUCUCCACGCGUUUUGGCAAUGAGCUAGAAACGAAAACACAGCCCCCACUUCACGAUUAUUCAGAAAUUAUUUUGAGGAAAAUUCACAUGUAAGCAAAGCGUAAUGUUCUUUUGCAUCUGAUUGUUUAUUUCUCUACUAAAUUAUUUAUUUAUAUAAAGAUAGUGAAAAUUCCAGGACAGUUUUCAAGUGGUGAGAAGAAAGUCAGUCCGAAAUCGCUUAAGAAUAAUGGAAAGCUCUGUAUUCAAUUCCAUAUUUCCUAAUAGGUUGUGGAAAGAAAUGCUUGCCUUGAUGUGGAUGAUUUAGAAUAACUUCACUGUCUCCCCAAAAGCCAGUCAGAAAUACCUGUUAAACCUAGAGCUAUCAAGGAGAUAAGGUAUCCUUGAAGAUUUAGAAAGUGGAAAAAGGGUUUUCUUACCCAAAACUCUAUAAUUAAUUCACCUGUCUUACACAGUAACCAACUAUCCUCAUGUCCUUUAAGACCCAAAGCCAAUUGCUAAUGUGUUUUUUGGACAACACAAUAGUUUUUUUUUUUUUUUUUUCAUGUUUGAAAAGUGCUGCUGUAGUUUUGGAAAGUCCUUUUCAAUUUGUCAGUAAAUAUAUGUUUUGUAAAUAAUGGGAAGAACAAAAACAAAGCUCACUAGUUGACUUGUAAAGACUUGGGUAGCUGUGCUUAAAACAACAUGAGGCUGAGUUUAGACUGACUCUAUUCCUCCUUUCCUUCCUCUUUCCUUUUCUUUUCUUUUCUAACUUGUUGCACUGAAGUAUUUAUUCAAGGAUUUUUGACUAACAUAUCAUUUGAAUAUGGGUCAAAUCUAUUUGCUGCUCAUGUCUCCAAGUAUCUUCAAUUAGUUAGCCUUUGAACCGGUCCACACAUGUUCAGUAAGUUCAUAAGAUAUGAAGCAAUGCUUUAGCAUUUGACAGAUUUUUAAAAUAAACUGUUAGUAGCAGGUUCACAGGGUUGGGAAAUUUUAUAAUAAAAUUUUUGCCAUUCUGGUGUUGAAAUGAUCACAUUUCUCUAUAUCAUUUUAAGCCUUUGAACUCUGUGAAUCGCAGUGUCAAAUAGUGCAGGAACUGUCUACCGAAAAAUAGAAAUAUGACACUAUGGACUAAUUAGUGUAUGAUUAUACUAAAAUUUUUGGGACAUAGCAGUUAAAUCAGGAGGCUUUCCUGGGAGAUAAGAAUUCAGAAAAUCGAUUGUUGCAGAAAAGUCCAUGAACUUCUGCAAGGACAACUAAAGUUUAAACAGUUGUUUGGCCUGGUUAACCAAUGUAUUGUAAUACAUUCAGAAAUAAUUUUUAUUUAUGUUUCAGUCUUCAAAUUUGUUAUGGGUAAAAGUAGGAAUUCAAUAUAUAUCACAUACAUCAAAACACUUCCUUAAGUAUUUUUGCAUGUUUUAGAAAAUAUUACUUUUUUAAGACAUACCAAACUACUAUUAUAAUGAGGGGAGGGGAGGAAGAAAGUAUUAAGCCCUGAAAAGCUAAUUUUAUUUUCGAAUUCUAUGCCUAACUUUAAUAAAUUUUGAUAUGGUUUUAAAAGACUAAACUAUAGUCUCAUUAUUUUAAGUUCUAGACCCACAAAUGGAAGAAUGGGAAUUAAAUGCCGAGCAUCUGCCAUUACCAUUCUCAUUUUUUACAUUUCCUUAAACUAUCACUCACCCAAUACCUGACACAUUCGGAAGCUACAGACAGGAGGUAAUGAUAGCAGCCCAAGCCAUAAUCCCACCUUGCUUCGAAGCAAACUCCAAAUUUUCUACUGCAGGGAAACCUUUGCCUCCGAGCACGUGCUCCACUCAGAAGCAGGGCUGAGAGACAUUUGCCCCCACCUGAAUAAGAGCUCUCCAGCCUUCCUUCUCCUGACCUCAGGUCUCAAAAUCAGUUCAGGGAACCACCACUUACCCCUUCAAUCAAACAAUAGGAUUAGAAAAGGCAUAUAGCACAAAUUAAAAUAUGUAGGAAAUAAAAGCCUUGAAAAUUUUGAAGGUUUUAUCUCUUUUUUCUUUCCUUUUUUUUUCUUUUUCUUUCUUUCUUUUUGAGAAAUGUUGCCAAUGAGUAAGGCAAACAGUUAUUUAACAACAACAGAUAAAUCAACUUAGAGAUUUUGAAUUCUCACUCCAUUGCAUCUUUAGCUUUUAGAGCUUUUGUCUUGCUUGUUUAUUGUUUUACAUCUCCGCUUGUUUCAGGUCCUCUCCAUCUCAUCUUCCCCAACCUUCACUCAAUUUGCAUAAGCAAAACUCAAAGUACUGUAACUGAUAUUAGAAAAUUCUCCCUGUGUUUUGUGAAGACGUAUUGUGCUGAAAUCAAUAAGACUGUUUAAAAUUCAAAGACCUGCAAAUCGUUCUGUUUGUCCUUUGAUAGGGCCUGUGCUGAUUAAAAUGCUACCAAGAAAGCUUAAUUGCUGCACUAAUUAAGAAGUCUUUAAUUUCUUUCCUAGGAUAUCGUUUGAAGCUUAGCUUGUACCAGUUCAGGGAAGGUAUUUUCUUCCCUCCCUCUGCCCCCUUCUGGCCCCUCCCCUCCCUUUUUCCCGUCCUCCCUUCCCCCACAACCCCCCCCACCCCCCGCCCGACAAUGAGAUCCCUACGAAUGGGAACUAACAGAGAGAGUGGUCUCAGGUCUUGCUAUCUGUUACUUAACAAAAAUCGGCACAGGAUGCAGAGUUCAGUACAGUAUGAAAUGCAGUUUUGAGAAGAGCUGUAAGGUUGCAAGAGACAGUAAGAAAAUACAAAGUAGCUGUUGCAGCUAAAGUCCCGCUGAAUACCUGGAUGACAACAGGCACUUUAGCCCGAUGAUGAGGGCAUCCUAUUUGGUUAAAAGGGGCAGUGACAGGGAAAUGAAACAGGGACACAUAAAAACAUACUUACAAAACCUGUGGUUUAAAAAAGAAUAAAUCUGUAGAAAGAUGGACAUAGAGUUGGGAUUUGGUAAGUAUCAUUUUAUUUUAUGAGUAUGAAAACAUGAAUUCUAUGGGGAUUUAUUUCUGACCCUUUUUAUAACCCAGGGAAACACAGCACUGUAUUACAUCCAUUCCAUUCUUAUCUAUUGACCUAUUUUAUUCACUGAUUUCUCAAGUGGGGAAACUGACUAAAUCAUUUCACAAAGCUUUCUCUGUAAUCAAUAGUCAUUUUUUAGGUUUAUUCAUGCUGCAUUAUAAUUCUGGUAAAUGACUGCAAAGCAGAAGAUUGUAAGAAAGAUACAAAUAUUGACAAAGCCAGGAUAAGUCAUGUCUUUAAACCUUCAGAGUUUCAAUAUAAUUGAUAUCAUUAUUUGAAAAAAGGGAAAUGCAUAUUUCAUAGCAUAUAAAAAAC
rnacentral:lncRNA from 1 species